UUGCUCUCAAAUGACUGGCAAUUGUUUAAUAAUUACUGCUGUUGCUACCAUUUUUAUUUUAAGGGCAAUUUUUCCACCCAAUCGACUUUGAUAUACUUGAUGUCCACUCUGGUUCAGAUGCACAAAAACCAGAUGCCACCAUGAUUGUGAAAAAUAACCAGCUGAGAGUAACUAGGGGAUGGCAGAAGGAUUACAUAGCUGAUAUCCAACAGGGCGCCAAUAUCCCUUGUUGGUUUAUUCACAACAAUGGAGAUGGCCUUAUUGAUGGCAAUCACACAGACUACAUUGUUCCCAGCAUAUUCUGAAAUAAAA